rnacentral:rRNA from 1 species
UACAGAGGGGGCAAGCGUUGUUCGGAAUUACUGGGCGUAAAGGGCGCGUAGGCGGCCUGUUAAGUCGGACGUGAAAUCCCUCGGCUCAACCGGGGAACUGCGUCUGAUACUGGCGGGCUUGAAUUCGGGAGAGGGAUGUGGAAUUCCAGGUGUAGCGGUGAAAUGCGUAGAUAUCUGGAGGAACACCGGUGGCGAAGGCGGCAUCCUGGACCGACACUGACGCUGAGGCGCGAAAGCUAGGGGAGCAAACGGG